rnacentral:rRNA from 1 species
GCGGCUGCUAAUACAUGCAAGUCGAGCGAACGGAYGAGAAGCUUGCUUCUCUGAUGUUAGCGGCGGACGGGUGAGUAACACGUGGAUAACCUACCUAUAAGACUGGGAUAACUUCGGGAAACCGGAGCUAAUACCGGAUAAUAUUUUGAACCGCAUGGUUCAAAAGUGAAAGACGGUCUUGCUGUCACUUAUAGAUGGAUCCGCGCUGCAUUAGCUAGUUGGUAAGGUAACGGCUUACCAAGGCAACGAUGCAUAGCCGACCUGAGAGGGUGAUCGGCCACACUGGAACUGAGACACGGUCCAGACUCCUACGGGAGGCAGCAGUAGGGAAUCUUCCGCAAUGGGCGAAAGCCUGACGGAGCAACGCCGCGUGAGUGAUGAAGGUCUUCGGAUCGUAAAACUCUGUUAUUAGGGAAGAACAUAUGUGUAAGUAACUGUGCACAUCUUGACGGUACCUAAUCAGAAAGCCACGGCUAACUACGUGCCAGCAGCCGCGGUAAUACGUAGGUGGCAAGCGUUAUCCGGAAUUAUUGGGCGUAAAGCGCGCGUAGGCGGUUUUUUAAGUCUGAUGUGAAAGCCCACGGCUCAACCGUGGAGGGUCAUUGGAAACUGGAAAACUUGAGUGCAGAAGAGGAAAGUGGAAUUCCAUGUGUAGCGGUGAAAUGCGCAGAGAUAUGGAGGAACACCAGUGGCGAAGGCGACUUUCUGGUCUGUAACUGACGCUGAUGUGCGAAAGCGUGGGGAUCAAACAGGAUUAGAUACCCUGGUAGUCCACGCCGUAAACGAUGAGUGCUAAGUGUUAGGGGGUUUCCGCCCCUUAGUGCUGCAGCUAACGCAUUAAGCACUCCGCCUGGGGAGUACGACCGCAAGGUUGAAACUCAAAGGAAUUGACGGGGACCCGCACAAGCGGUGGAGCAUGUGGUUUAAUUCGAAGCAACGCGAAGAACCUUACCAAAUCUUGACAUCCUUUGACAACUCUAGAGAUAGAGCCUUCCCCUUCGGGGGACAAAGUGACAGGUGGUGCAUGGUUGUCGUCAGCUCGUGUCGUGAGAUGUUGGGUUAAGUCCCGCAACGAGCGCAACCCUUAAGCUUAGUUGCCAUCAUUAAGUUGGGCACUCUAAGUUGACUGCCGGUGACAAACCGGAGGAAGGUGGGGAUGACGUCAAAUCAUCAUGCCCCUUAUGAUUUGGGCUACACACGUGCUACAAUGGACAAUACAAAGGGCAGCGAAACCGCGAGGUCAAGCAAAUCCCAUAAAGUUGUUCUCAGUUCGGAUUGUAGUCUGCAACUCGACUACAUGAAGCUGGAAUCGCUAGUAAUCGUAGAUCAGCAUGCUACGGUGAAUACGUUCCCGGGUCUUGUACACACCGCCCGUCACACCACGAGAGUUUGUAACACCCGAAGCCGGUGGAGUAACCUUUUAGGAGCUAGCCGUCGAAGUGACAAAA